GCCCCCUUAGCUCAGCCCGGCAGAGCAGCUGACUCUUAAUCAGCGGGUCGUAGGUUCAAAUCCUACAGGGGGCA
rnacentral:tRNA from 2 species